AUGAGUUUUUAACCCAUAACAAAAAUGGUGGAAUUACUCAGAAAGAAUACAACACAUUAUGGCCGGAAAUUACCCACUGGUUGUUACAGCUCGACCCAUCGUUAAAAGAUGACCUGAUAAGAUUAGAAAAUAGACCAUUAGAUGAGAGUCUAUACACUAAGUACAGCACAGAGCUUUUUGAUAUUCAUUCAAAGUUGGAAGAGAUACAUUCUGAAUUCAACGAGAUAAAGGACUUUACAAUAAAAGGCAGAGACGAUUCGAGAAAAAUGUUGGAGAGAAUGGA